rnacentral:rRNA from 1 species
GAGUAAGGGCGACUGAAUGGGAAGAGCCCAGCGCAUAACCUCGCGGUCCCUGGCGGCCGUCGAGGGGUGUUGCGUAUCGGUGGAUCCGUCCCGCCUGUGCUGCUUACCGCCUAAGUCAUUGCUUGAAAGCAGCCCCAUGGAGGGUGAUAGGCCCGUGUGGCGGCGCCUGUAAGAAGGGUGCAGGCGGCAUGGGCGGAGGGAUCUUCACCGGAGAGUCGGGUUGCUUAGUACUGCAGCCCUAAGCAGGUGGUAAACUCCAUCUAAGGCUAAAUACAACCACGAGUCCGAUAGAUGACAAGUACCGUGAGGGAAAGCUGAAAAGAACUUUGAAGAGAGAGUUCAAGAGGACGUGAAACCAUUAGAAGCAUAAACGGGUGGAACCGCGACGGUCGAACGAGGGGAUUCAGCUCGCGGCCUGCCGGCCCGGAGAGGUGGCACAAAGAACCAAAGAGAGGACCCGGCGAGAAAGUUGGCACGCCGUGGCUCCGCUUCUCCGUGGCUGGCCGGGCCCGCGGGCUUAUUUCUCCCUCUAGUAGCAUCGCUGCGACCCGCUGCCUCGAGGCCCCCAGGGCCCGUGCGGACUGGUAGCCGGGACUUCGGUCCCGGUGAGGACCGCGUGGGUUCCGACCGGGCCUCGGCGGCGGUCACUGCCAGGAGGCCGCUGCU